UUGCCUACGGGGGGCAGCAGUAGGGAAUUUUCGUCAAUGGGCGCAAGCCUGAACGAGCAAUGCCGCGUGAACGAGGAAGGUCUUCGGAUUGUAAAGUUCUGUUGAAGGGGAAAAAGAGCGGAGAGAGGAAAUGGUCUCCGAUUGAUAUUACCCUUCGAGGAAGCCACGGCUAACUACGUGCCAGCAGCCGCGGUAAUACGUAGGUGGCGAGCGUUAUCCGGAAUGAUUGGGCGUAAAGGGUGCGUAGGCGGCCUGCUAAGUCAGCGGUCAAAGCCCGGGGCUCAACCCCGGCCCGCCGUUGAAAC
rnacentral:rRNA from 1 species